GCUCCGUAGUGUAGUGGUUAGCACAUCUGCUUUACAUGCAGAAGGUCCUGGGUUCACUCCCAGGGUGCG
rnacentral:tRNA from 1 species